ACAGGCUUAUCUCCCCCAAGAGUCCAUAUCGACGGGGAGGUUUGGCACCUCGAUGUCGGCUCAUCGCAUCCUGGGGCUGGAGUAGGUCCCAAGGGUUUGGCUGUUCGCCAAUUAAAGCGGUACGUGAGCUGGGUUUAAAACGUCGUGAGACAGUUUGGUCCCUAUCUGUUGCGGGCGGAGGAUAUUUGAGAGGAGCUGUCCCUAGUACGAGAGGACCGGGAUGGACGAACCUCUAGUGUUCCAGUUGUCACGCCAGUGGCAUCGCUGGGUAGCUACGUUCGGACGGGAUAACCGCUGAAAGCAUCUAAGCGGGAAGCCCACCUCAAGAUUAGAUAUCCCGUGGCGUAAGCCACCUAAAGACCCCUCGGAGACUACGAGGUUGAUAGGUCAGGUGUGUAAGGCCAGUAAUGGUCUGAGCUUACUGAUACUAAUCGGUCGUGCGGCUUGACCAU
rnacentral:rRNA from 1 species